rnacentral:rRNA from 1 species
CAGCUCGUGUCGUGAGAUGUUGGGUUAAGUCCCGCAACGAGCGCAACCCUUGAUCUUAGUUGCCAUCAUUUAGUUGGGCACUCUAAGGUGACUGCCGGUGACAAACCGGAGGAAGGUGGGGAUGACGUCAAAUCAUCAUGCCCCUUAUGACCUGGGCUACACACGUGCUACAAUGGACGGUACAAAGAGCUGCAAGACCGCGAGGUGGAGCUAAUCUCAUAAAACCGUUCUCAGUUCGGAUUGUAGGCUGCAACUCGCCUACAUGAAGCUGGAAUCGCUAGUAAUCGCGGAUCAGCAUGCCGCGGUGAAUACGUUCCCGGGCCUUGUACACACCGCCCGUCACACCACGAGAGUUUGUAACACCCGAAGUCGGUGGGGUAACCUUUU